rnacentral:tmRNA from 1 species
CUGACGGGGGCGAAACAGGAUCGACGAGGGUGUAAAGAGCGCGCUUUUGCCCGGCAUGAUACCACCGUUAUCGGGUCAAACCUGUAGUUGCAAACGACAACUAUGCUGAAGCUCGUCUCGCUGCCUAAGGGCGGUGCGACUGUUUCAAAUUAAGUCCUGACGGGUAGCACCGGCAGGCGGGGCCCGGAGGCGCCUGGCAACAGAAGCCUCCACU